rnacentral:rRNA from 1 species
UACGGGGGGGGCAAGCGUUGUUCGGAAUUACUGGGCGUAAAGCGCACGUAGGCGGCUUUGCAAGUUAGAGGUGAAAGCCCGGGGCUCAACCCCGGAAUUGCCUUUAAAACUGCAUCGCUAGAAUUGUGGAGAGGUAAGUGGAAUUCCGAGUGUAGAGGUGAAAUUCGUAGAUAUUCGGAAGAACACCAGUGGCGAAGGCGACUUACUGGACACAUAUUGACGCUGAGGUGCGAAAGCGUGGGGAGCAAACAGG